rnacentral:miRNA from 1 species
UGUGCGGAAAUGCUUCUGCUC